UACAGAGGUGGCAAGCGUUGUUCGGAAUUACUGGGCGUAAAGGGCGCGUAGGCGGUUCGUUAAGUCCUGUGUGAAAUCCCCCGGCUCAACUGGGGAACUGCACAGGAAACUGGCGGGCUUGAGUUCGGGAGAGGUAAGUGGAAUUCCGGGUGUAGAGGUGAAAUUCGUAGAUAUCGGGAGGAACACCAGUGGCGAAGGCGACUACCUGGCCUGUUCUUGACGCUGAGGCGCGAAAGCUAGGGGAGCAAACGGG
rnacentral:rRNA from 1 species